AGGAAUGUAUAGCAAUAGCUACUUACAUGAUAGUAAUAAUGAUGUAAGAUCGACAGAGUCGAAUAAAGUUCUAGGUAGAAUUUUGAUAAUGACAUUAUAUGCCUAUGUGUCUUGACCAAUUACGUGCCAGCAGUCGCGGUAAUACGUAUAAGGCUAGCGUUAUUCAUGUUUAAUCGGUUUAAAGGGUACCUAGACGGCAGAUCAAGCUUAUUUAAUAAAAAAGGACUAAUAUGCUAGAGUUAUUACUGAGGGGGCUAUAAAGUACUGCUGGUGUAGGGAUGAAAUAUUUUGAUACCUGAAAUUUAUGGCACAGGUAUAGGCGAAGGCAUCCCCUUAUGAGAUAACUGACGUUGAGGGACGAAGGCUUCGGACCACGAACAGGAUUAGAGACCCUGGUAGUUGAAGCAGUAAACGAUGAGUGUCAUAGAUUAGACAUAUAAGUUUCUUCUAUAAAUGAAAGUGUAAGCAUUCCACCUCAAGAGUAAUUUGGCAACAUUGGAACUGAAAUCAUUAGACCGUUUCUGAAAUUAGUAGUGAAGUAUGUUGUUUAAUUUGAUAACCCGCAAAGAACCUUACCACAAUUUGAAUAUUUAUUUUGUUUAUUGUUAUCUCAUUAGUUCCCCUUUUUUAUAUAAGUAAACAAACACAAAGAUUAUAAUAUAUAAAGAAUAAAACUAAUGUUGAAGCAAUAACAUAUAUUUACAAGCGUUGCACGGCUGUCGUCAGUUGAUGUCGCGAGACUGUGGUUUGCUCCACCAAUCAACGUAAACCCUCGCUUUAUUUUUAGAUAAAGCGUAUAAUUACCGAUAUGGUUAUGAU
rnacentral:rRNA from 1 species